CAUCUGAUGGAGACACUGUCUCCGGGUGUUCUGGCCCUACAGGACGAGGGCCUCCUCCACCAUGAGGGGUCCCCAGAGGCCCCCCAAUAACAAAUGUCCUGAUUGCUUUCCUUUGUGUUCCGGUGUGCAGUGGAAUUCUGAGGGAAGGAGCGGGGAGUGUUUUUCCUUCAGCCCUGCUCCAUCAUCAACGCCCUAAUGGAGGUGUCUCACCUGGUUCUGCUGACCUUUAGACCUGCAGCUGUUUUCAGUUUGUCUGUCAAUUUCCUUCAUUAUGAUUAGAAGACAGAAGAUAGAUGACCUAAGACUGAGACCACAGACCACAGAGCUCUUAUUCAUUUAUUCUUCUUCUACUGCUUAAUUCUUUUUAGUGUUAGGAGCAAAAUGAGGGCGGAGUAAAGCCCGGACAUUUACCAGUCCAUCACAGGGCCACAAUCAGAGACCACGACCAUUCACACUAACGUGAGUGACCAAUGAACGUAACACCAGAUGUUCCUGGACUGGGGUGAACUUGAACUUGACUGGCCCAGAAAACUGGAAAGGUUUGUGAUACCUCCUACAUGCAGGUCUGUCUCAGGUAAAGCUGAGCUUUUCUUUUCUAUGUUGCUGUAGGCCUAGGCUGCUGGGGGUAAUCCCAGACCAGAAAUACAAGGGAUUUUUUAAAUUUUCUGCACUGUUGUUCUGUUGUGUCUGAGUUAAUUUCCUGUCUCUCUGUCAUUGGUCGUUUCUGCCUGAUGUCUUUCACCAGUGUCUCCACCAAAGUCACUUUGUCUCCUCUGUCUCCUUACUUUCCUAUGGACCAUCGACUUCUUCUGAUUCUGGACCAACUCUUUCAGUGAUGUUUUGGGGAGGGGGGGCCUCCUGGGGUUGAUGGGGACCCCCUUCCUGCAGGACCUGAACACUGAGACGGUGAGCACAGCGCCUUCUACUGGACUCAGGGAUUUAUCUGCUUUUAGGAAUCCAUGCAAAGAACUGCUAACGUCCACCUGGUAAUUACAAGUUACCCUUCUCUCAGUGACACAAACUGACCACAGGAGGCAGCGGUGGACCAGUGGCUCCUGCGUCACUUUGAGCUAAAAUAACAGAGGUUCUGUGCUGUGGGUGACAGUUUUCUUUUCUUUUCUUGCGCUCUGUGUGAUUUUGCAGAGCUGAGCUGAUGUCCACUCAGCUUCCAACCCAGAAACAACAAAUGCUGUCACUCAUCGGUCCUACAGCUCAUGUUUUCUCAGUUCACAGUCAGCUUUAAAUGUGAAUAUGUUUUAAGGUGUAGAAAUACUGAAAAAUAAUCCAACACCAAAUCCACCUUAAGACCAUAAUGGAGUUUUGUGCUGCUGCACAAAUUCUCCUGAGCCUCUUAAUUACAGCAGUGGUACAGUUUUUUUUGUUCAAGCACCUUCUUAACUGAUGAAGUCAUUCAUACCAGAAGAUUAAAGCUGCCCUGACAACUAGACCUCACAAACAGUGGCCCGUCGGCUGCUCACUGCUGACCCGUGAAGUGAGGCAGGUGAGGUGAAGAAAAAAAAAAAAAAAAAAAGAA